rnacentral:snoRNA from 1 species
GUCUGUUCUAACAUGAUGAAAUAUCAAUGCAACAUAGAGUCAAGCUCAGAGAGGACAAAAAUGAUCUUCAGGGACGAGACUUGCUUUCUUUUUUCUGAUUGAACAUUC